rnacentral:rRNA from 1 species
ACAGCAGUAGCCGCGGGAAUACGUAGGGUGCGAGCGUUAAUCGGAAUUACUGGGCGUAAAGCGUGCGCAGGCGGUUCGUUAAGACAGAUGUGAAAUCCCCGGGCUUAACCUGGGAACUGCAUUUGUGACUGGCGAGCUAGAGUAUGGCAGAGGGGGGUAGAAUUCCACGUGUAGCAGUGAAUGCGUAGAGAUGUGGAGGAAUACCGAUGGCGAAGGCAGCCCCCUGGGCCAAUACUGACGCUCAUGCACGAAAGCGUGGGGAGCAAACAGGAUUAGAUACCCCGGUAGUCCCUGUCUCUUAUACC